UGUUAGUUGUGGAUGUGGAGAAAUUUGCUUCAGCAGAGCCAGAAAGUUGGUUCUCUGUGGAUGAGAAACAACCCAUUGCUUAUGCCAAAGUUGAAGUUGUGGAAGCAUCAGCCUGACAUGAAACCAUCUGACUUAAAUGGUUUGGCUGAUCCAUACGUUAAAGGACAACUUGGCCCUUACAAAUUCAGGACGAAGAUACAAAGGAAAACUCUGGCUCCAAAAUGGCAUGAGGAAUUCAAUAUCCCCAUUUGCACAUGGGAUUUGCCUAAUGUGCUAGCUAUUGAAGUUCGUGAUAAGGACCAUUUUGUUGAUGAUUCUCUUGGGGAUUGUACCGUUAGCAUCAAUGAUCUUAGAGAUAGUGAGAGACAUGACAUGUGGUUGCCACUCCAGAAAAUUAAAAUGGGGAGACUGCAUCUCGCAAUAACUGUUAUUGAAGAAAAUAUAAAGGGGGGUGCUAAUUUUUUUCAUGGAGAAACAUUGAGCAAGGGAGAAAUGAGAGAUUCCUUUGUAAGUGAGACUGCAAACAAAGCUUCCUUCUCAUCAUCCGCAACAUCAGAUAAGUCUUCAAGAGUGCCAGAUAAUUUUGAGCCUAUCAACAUUGAAGGGCAACAAGAAACUGGGAUAUGGGUUCAUCAACCUGGAAGUGAAGUGUCACAAACUUGGGAGCCUAGAAAAGGGAAGAGUAAGCGCCUUGAUAAUCAAGUGGAUGGAGUUCCUGGUGAUUCAUUUGGUAGAACUCAUUCAACAACUUCCGGACCCCUUAACAAUGAGAGUAGCAGUGCUGAUGA
rnacentral:misc_RNA from 1 species